rnacentral:rRNA from 1 species
CUAGCGUACUUACGAGUAGUUUGAUCCUGGCUCAGGACGAACGCUGGCGGCGUGCCUAACACAUGCAAGUCGAACGGAGUAGAGACUUCGGUUUUUACUUAGUGGCGAACGGGUGAGUAACGCGUGAGAAACCUGCCUUUCAGUGGGGGACAACAGUUGGAAACGACUGCUAAUACCGCAUAAUGUAUCGAUAGGGCAUCCUAAUGAUACCAAAGAUUUAUUGCUGAAAGAUGGUCUCGCGUCUGAUUAGCUAGUUGGUGAGGUAACGGCUCACCAAGGCGACGAUCAGUAGCCGGUCUGAGAGGAUGAACGGCCACAUUGGGACUGGGAUACGGCCCAG